UAAAAGUCAAGUAGGACUAAUAAAUAAGAUG
rnacentral:piRNA from 1 species